rnacentral:rRNA from 1 species
AUUGAACGCUGGCGGCAUGCCUUACACAUGCAAGUCGAACGGCAGCACGGACUUCGGUCUGGUGGCGAGUGGCGAACGGGUGAGUAAUGUAUCGGAACGUACCUUUCAGUGGGGGACAACGUAGCGAAAGUUACGCUAAUACCGCAUAUUCUGUGAGCAGGAAAGCAGGGGAUCGCAAGACCUUGCGCUGAUUGAGCGGCCGAUAUCAGAUUAGCUAGUUGGUGAGGUAAAGGCUCACCAAGGCGACGAUCUGUAGCGGGUCUGAGAGGAUGAUCCGCCACACUGGAACUGAGACACGGUCCAGACUCCUACGGGAGGCAGCAGUGGGGAAUUUUGGACAAUGGGGCGAACCCUGAUCCAGCCAUGCCGCGUGAGUGAAG